UAAAGAGUGGUACAAAAACCUCAGUCAGUCAGACGUCACAGUGAUGCACUGAUACAGCUGAGAGAUACUGCAGCUGCUGAUGGAGGAUCACAAACAACACAAUGACAAUGUUUAGCAAAGUUUCUUUAAAAAAUAAUUAUUAAUAUAGUAAAUAUACAUUUAUAUAUAGUCAUUUAUGUUUGUAUUAAAUAACUGUUAGUGCUCAUAUGAAUUAUGGCAGCACUGGGAUGUUUUAUUGUUUGUGUUUCAGAUCACAGUAUGAGAGCGAUGUGGAGUGAAGCAGAAAUAGCAGUUGUUUUUAAUGUGUUUUCUCUCACUCCAGGAUUGAAAGAAGCGGUUUCUUUCUCCAGUGGUUGUGGAAAAAUAUGCAUACUAACUAAUCAGAUUUAGUCUGAAAGGGACAGUGACCCUGGAGUAAAGUGGCUUACAUAAAGACACACUGGUGGUGACGCUGCAGAGAUCGACCAGCAACCUUCUGCUUACCAGUUCAGUAGUUGAGCCCACUACAACACAAAAGUAAUCGUGCUCAUGGAGAUCAGGCACACGGAUGUUUGGCGCAGACACCGCAGCAGCCAGAUUGUCCCGCACAUCUUCUCCCACUCUUGCUUCGAGGUUGUGUGGUUCCGGGGGCCUGUCAUCAUGGUCUUCCUCAUUUUCUGCCUCAACGAUGUCGCCAUUGAGAAGAGCGAGAUUAAGAAGCACAGCACGCAACCACCUCAGGCACGAAGGCAGGGUUUACCUCUAAGGCCUUGAAGAAAAUACUGCGCCACCGUGUCUUCAGCAUCCCAAAAGCUCUCUCAACGAUGUUCCGGGCACGGGAGUGCUUGUUGUUGAAACGAGCCUGCGCGGGGUUCUGUACAGGCUCUCUGUAAGGCGUGAUGAGGCAGAUGGGUGCACUCAGGCAAGGAUAGCCACCAUCACCGAGGAUGCACUUGCCUGGUGGUGGAUAAAGGCUGCCAGUGUAGACAGGGCUGUUCCUCAGGACCCUGGCAUCGUGCACAGACCCAGGAUAUCCCACGAAGACAUCAAGGAAUUUCCGCCGGUGAUCAGUGAUGGCCUGGAGCUGGAUGGAAUGAAACAGCUUCCUGUUGUAGUAGCAGUGGGAGCUAUUUGCUGGAGGUUUAAUCCGGACUGGACAGCCGUCUAUAGCACCAACGGCUCUGCUGAAAGCUGGUGACCCAGCCAGCUGUGCAAAUCCUGCCUCUAGGUCAUCUCCGGUCAGAAAGCAAAUCACCCUCCUCAAAAUUCCCAUGAUUGCCUGGCUCACUCUGUGCACAAUGUCAUGCACAGAGGACUUGGGGAUAUCAAAGGUCUGUGAGACCACCCUGUAGGAUGCUGCAUGGGCAAGCCAGUAGAGGAAGACAAGCACCUCAAUGUCCCUCUCCCAUCCAUGGUCAGAUUCCAGCCUGAGUGCACCAAUGAGGGACAUGAUGGAUGGCAAAGACAGGUGAAGGUGAUCACGGUGGUCAGCUGCUUCAUUGAAAUAAAGCUGCAGUAUUGGCACAGCUCUGUUGAGAUGGCAGUAGGAUGUGGGGUUGUCCACGUGUAAAUAUGAUAUAGCUCAUUAGAAUAAUAAAUUUGAAUAAAGAUUUGUUUCAUGUGUUGUUGACUUGUAUUUAUUUGUUUUAUUCAUUUGUUUACUCAUUUUUGUUUGUUCAU